UUCGGAUUGUAGUCUGCAACCCGACUACAUGAAGCCGGAAUCGCUAGUAAUCGCGGAUCAGAAUGCCGCGGUGAAUACGUUCCCGGGUCUUGUACACACCGCCCGUCACACCAUGGGAGGUUGGAAAAUGCCCGAAGUCAGUGGCCCCAACCGGAAGGGGGGAGCUGCCGAAGGCAGGUUCGAUGACUGGGGUNAAGUCGUAACAAGGUAUC
rnacentral:rRNA from 1 species